rnacentral:rRNA from 1 species
UGGGGAAUAUUGCACAAUGGGCGCAAGCCUGAUGCAGCCAUGCCGCGUGUAUGAAGAAGGCCUUCGGGUUGUAAAGUACUUUCAGCGGGGAGGAAGGGAGUAAAGUUAAUACCUUUGCUCAUUGACGUUACCCGCAGAAGAAGCACCGGCUAACUCCGUGCCAGCAGCCGCGGUAAUACGGAGGGUGCAAGCGUUAAUCGGAAUUACUGGGCGUAAAGCGCACGCAGGCGGUUUGUUAAGUCAGAUGUGAAAUCCUCGGGCUCAACCUGGGAACUGCGUCUGAUACUGGCAAGCUUGAGUCUCGUAGAGGGGGGUAGAAUUCCAGGUGUAGCGGUGAAAUGCGUAGAGAUCUGGAGGAAUACCGGUGGCGAAGGCGGCCCCCUGGACGAAGACUGACGCUCAGGUGCGAAAGCGUGGGGAGCAAACAGG